CGAGAUCGGAGAGCUGGAUUGUGCCAUCCCUAAGCUGGAUAUCGAGCUGAUCGAGGUCGAUAUCGCCGAGUAUGAAUUUGCCGAGUUUCUUCUUCAAUAAGAAUUUGACGACCCUCUUCACGGCCCACCUUGAGAAAGCAGCCUCCGCGAAGUUCCAUGAUAUAUUUAUCAAUAUAUAAUUAUUUAUUACAUAAAAUUUUACACUAAACAUCAAUAAAUUUUCCUUAUAUUUAUAUCGAGUUAAUAAUAAUUUUUUCCCACUUUAAACCAAAAAGAACUUAGCGAUAACUACAUCUAUAUAUACAACCACGAUUUUUCAUAUUUUUUAUACGUAUCACGAAUUUGAAUUUAUUACCAGAAUUCAUGAUAAUAUUAUUUAGUAACUUUGAAAUCUCAAAGUCUAAACAGUGCAUGUUUAAGCACCAAGCACGAUGUAAUACGUUAACUGGUCAUGACUCAUGAGUUUCAUAAAUACUUCUUUUAGUCCUACGUAAUUUACAAUUAGAUUCUGUAUUUUUUUUUAGCUUUUUAAAUGAACUUGGUGAGGUGACACGCUUUACAGAAAAUUCCAAAGGGUGGCUAUCCACAAACACAUCAUCCAAAUCAAAGAAUCUACAAAGACACUUCCGAGUUUGGAUUACUAAGGAAUAAGAAACAAACCUUUAAAGAUUUUCCUACAUAGUUAGCUAAACCAGAACAAAGGCUAGAAGGAACUCGUGUUCCUAUAGUUUGAUGCUACAACUUUAGUUAGAUCAAACAUCAUUCUGCGAUAUACUGUGCUUUGUUUCUAGGAAGAUCGUAUCAUUUCUGUAUUUGGAUAUCGCUUUGGCAGAAUCUCCACGAUCCAUCUUCUUGCUUCUUCAGAGUAUAGCGGAUCUUGUAAGUGCUACACAAAAUAUACGAAACGCAAGCAUCAGCGAAAAUACGCACUCAGACCAAAAGUGAAGCAAAUGUUUUUUACCUGUAAUAUUUUGCGUUUUUGGGCUGAGACUCGUCAACUAGUUCUGCUGCUUCCUCUAGAAAGGCCUCAAUCUCGGCAGUCUCACCAGCAAUACUACCAUCUGUGGAUAUGUGCGCUUGCAAAAUCUCAAGAUUAAGCAAAACGAAUCUCCAAUAACAAGAUUUAGCUUUUGCUGUUUGCGCCAACGUUUGCCACUGCAAAGUCCACAUUACCCGAAAUAAGAACAAAUGAGCAUACCCUGACAGACAUUUGCAACGUAGACUCUGAUGAAUCUUUACGUUAGAAAAGGUUAAAAAUAAUGAUCCAAAACUUGCCCUAGUGGCCAAGCAAGCUCUUUCUAACCUAGAGGUCAAGGUUCAAUCUCCGGUCUAUGCAGCACUGUUUUUGUUUCAUCCCAGUCUUACUACGUGUUCAAAAUGUAAUGUAACUUAACGGUAAAAUAUCAAUUUUCUAGAUCUUAUUCUGGACCUAGUCGAACUAUUGAUUGAUUUGUACUCAACGAUUGACGUUUAACCAGAUCACUGAAACUAAAUCAAUUAAGCACAGAAACAGAUUAAAUGUGGAGAAUCAGUGACCUGGAUAAGCAUGGCUUCGUCAAGGACUUCAGGAAGGCUAUAAACUUGAUGUGUAGGUCCAAGAGCUUCAGCUUUAAUAUUUUCCCACUGUCUCACAAGCUCUUCGGCGUCUUCUGUAAGCAUAGGUCUUUUGUGAACUUCCGAGGUGGGAUGAGACAAUGUAGCCGAUAGACCAGAGCUUUUUAGAUACAAGGCAUCCGAAUGUUCCCCAUGAUGCCUCUUCAACAUGUCCAAGAGUGUUUUGAUGUUGCCCACGACACCCUUUCUGUUCACAGAAGCAAGGUUUCUUCUGAAAUUCCCAGAAUCUGAUUCCAAGUGCGGCUUUGCAGAACCCCAUGUAGGCAGGCUCUGUAAUCUACCAGACCUAAUGCCUGUUAGCUUUAGAGAGAAGAACACGGUACAACCUAAUAAAGCAGCAACAGAUACCCUUUGGAUCAAACUGCUCUGAGAGAGCCAACCAUUCCAUAUUUUAUUUUGCUGUAAACCAAGGUUCCUUUUCAGUUGAACCGAUGGCCUACUGGCACCGCUUUCAUCAAUAUUCUUUGUUGAUGCUACUGGGCUCUGCAGAUUUGUUGGUGCCAAUUGCUCGACAGCUGUAUAAAUAUGUUGUGAUGAGUUCAUGAACUGCAUAGAGGAAAUCGGUCUUUGGUUCGUCUUGUGAUUAAUAAUUGGCGGUGACCCCAUUUUCUUGUUCACUGGAUAUUUUUUUUCAGCCCGGAAAAAGUUGGCCUGCAUAAAUUGUACGUAUAAAUAUGCUUCUGCUUAAAUAUAGAACUGGUUUACAGAAUCAUUCAGUGAUCUGGUUCUUACCAAAGAUGGCGAACAACCCCUUGUGUCUGGAAAGUUGGCAAGCACUGAAUCCUUUAGCCACGCUUCCUGGUUAAUUUUAUUAGGUAGUACGUAAAAGGUCAAUAUCAACUUUUAUUAAAGAAAAUUACAGCUAAACACGAUAUAGAUAUACAAAAGCGUAUGCAAAUAUAGCAAAAAGUUAAACUGAAUGAAUCAAUCAAAGGAAUUACCCAUGAUCUCUUUUUCAUAAAAAAAGCUUAUGUCAACUAAAUGGAAACUGAAGGCAGCCAUACGCAAUGCUGUUAAAGCAGAUUCUAUGAAUUUUACUACUGCACACUCCACAUCUCUAUUUUCAUUGUUUCAGUCAAUGCUUGGGACAUAGCACAAUUCAUAUUUCAUUAAGUUGAUCAUGCCAUUUAUAUCAGGGAGAACCAUCAGCCAGGGAAUAAUUACGUCCGCACUCCUAGCAACAUACAGACACAAAAUUCUCGGUAAAAGACAUCAGGUUUACCAACGAUGGUGUUGCAGAAGUAGUUCUCAACCCUUUCCCCAAGAUCGCAUUACGAACCGCAGAGACUGAAUUUGACUUAAGUUUUUCAAGGGCUUCAGCCUCGGAACCCUGUGUUAUCCAACAUGUAGGUCAAGUAGUACUUAAUUAAAUGUACAAGACAUGAAUCUUGCGGAGCAGGUAAUUUAAGUAAAUUUGAAGUGCUUAAGAUGCAACGACACAUUGGAAAGGGAAAAAGUACCUGGUUUAGAAGAAAUGAGCAAAAAGCUUCCUCAAAUUUCAGAUCAACACCUUCUGAUGCUAUUAGACAUUCGCAUAUAGAUUUUGCUUUAUUAAUCUACACAAACAUACUGAAUGUUAUACUUUAUAAACGAACAGACUAGAAAAAUGAACCAAUUAGUUAAAAUUUAUCAAACGAUAGAAAAGAGUUACAUACCUUAUCAGUUUGCUUGACUGAAAAUCCAACAGCGAUAUGAGCAACCAACACCAAGUAGAAACAAUUAAAAUCAAUUACUACUCUUUGAUUAUGUGAUUCAAGUGAUUUUUUAUUUUUCCGUGUAAUGGCCAAGGUAUCCCAUGGAAGGAGAUCAACAAUCUCUGUGGCCAGUAGCCUGCUAAUUGCCUGGCUCAAAAAGCAUGGCCAGUCUUGAAUUUGACAGGAAGCUUCAACAUCAAGGCCUUGUCUCAGAAGUUCACGUAGCGCUGCAACUGCACCUCGUCUCCUCUCCGCAUUUUCCGGCAAGGGAGGUAGGCCCAGUAGAUCUAAUGUGCAUGGUGCUGCAAGCUCCUCCAAGGACUCUUCUAUCUAAAAUUUUCAACUUAAAUCACUUAAAAAUGGUGGUAGAUUUUGUUUUUGGAUAAUACGAGCGAACUUACAUAUGAAGCUCCUCAUCAUUACUAGAUAAGGCAUGCUAAGCAAGUGACAGAACUAAAGGUAAACACAAGUAGCCUAAUCAGGCCUGAUGCAACGCAGCUAUUACCUGAGAUAACAAUGCAAGUUUCCCAAGAGUAACUUUACUCUUCAGAAAAGACUGAGCACGAGCAAGAGCUUCAAAUCCUUGAGAGACUUUGUUCGCCUCGAAAGCAUCCUUGGCGACCGCGCACUUCAUGGAAAAAAAACCCAACCAUAACAUAAAAGAAAAGCAGAAAGUUAGUGAAAACUGGUAACUAGUUUCCAUCCCUGGUUUACUGAUCUUACCUCAGAAAGUGCCAUAGCCAAAAAUAUAUCAUGAAUAUAUGGCUUUGAAUCAAGGUGCCUGAGAACAGACCGGCCAAUAUCCAGCACAAGUUUUUCUUCUCCAACCUGAAGCAUAGUAGCUCACAUCACCGGUUUAUCUCCUAUCCAAAAUCCUUUAUAUCUUAAGCUCAAAAAGGCACAAAACUUGAGAAAACCUUUGAUGAAUCUAUAAGUUUAACGACAAGUGAAACUGCCAUCAAUUCGAUAACUUAGAGCAUCAAUUGAGAGAUAAACCUUGUCAUUGAAAUAGUCAACGUUGAUAGCGAGAUCGGAGAGCUGGAUUGUGCCAUCCCUAAGCUGGAUAUCGAGCUGAUCGAGGUCGAUAUCGCCGAGUAUGAAUUUGCCGAGUUUCUUCUUCAAUAAGAAUUUGACGACCCUCUUCACGGCCCACCUUGAGAAAGCAGCCUCCGCGAAGUUCCAUGGAAACAUCGUGUUCCCCCCUGCCGAUCAGAGAAUCGACUCC
rnacentral:lncRNA from 1 species